UAAAAUUAUUGUAUGAUAAGAAAAUAACAUAGAUUAGUACACAAAUCUUGGAUAUAAUUACAAAAGGUCUAUGUACCUGCAAACUUCCUUUAAUAAACAGAUUUGCUUUAAAAUGAACUCUUCUUCUGAGAGGUAACCGGUGCUCACACGGGAAAAUACUCAUUAAGUAAAUCUCAAUAACAUUGAAAAUAUACAGUCCAACAUUUUAUAAAUUAGAACUUAAAUCAUGAAUACUUCUAAGCGAAUCUUGUGUCACCAACGGCUCUUCUUUCAUACGCAUCGGAUGUCUAGUCAUGACAAUCCUUUGGGUAUAAAAGGCGGGGACCUAACAGAACACCUCGUAAGCAGUCCAUAGAUGGGGUUAAAACCGUGAUAGUUGUGGCAUCAGGAGAGGGCGGAGUCGGGAAGUCUACCACUGCUGUCCAAGCAGGUAGGUCUACUAGAUGCAGAUGUGUUUGGCCCAUCAAUACCAAUUAUGAUGAAUCUGAAGGGUGAACCUCUACUGAAUGAUCGUGAAUACUUGGAAUGAGAUGAUGCCAUUGACAAACUAUGGAAUAAAAUGACAAUCGAAGAUGAACGUUUUCUUGCUUAGGACACUUCGUCGGCACCGCCACAAAGGUUGGUAAAGGCGGUCAUGGCGGUGGAUUUAACAUUGGUGGUGGUGGCAUGUUUUCCGCUGCAGGAGGCUUUGUAGCGGUUGGAUGUGGAUUUAUUUCAGGUACCGGUUCCGGCUUGGGAGGAAGAUCCGGAACUGGUCGCACAUGGUCCAGGGUCAGUCAAGGUGGAUGGGGUGGUCAGAGCGGCGAUGGCUCAUGGGGUGGCCAAUGUGGUCUAACUUUAGGCUGGACAUGUGGAUUGGGAACUGGUGGCGGUGCUUCCGGUAGUUGGGGAACUGAUGGCUAAUGGAGAACUAGUGGUGGUACAACUGGACGCGUAAGCGGUUCAGCCGGCGUGAAAGUUAUAAUUACUGGAGCUCCAUUCGGAGGUCCAAGCGGACCCUCUUGGCCCAUCCGGAGGAACCUUCAUCCCUAGAUCUGGUUCCGGUUGCGGUUUCUUCAGCGGAUCUAAAGGCGGCUUUGCUCUUUCCGGCCAAAAUGGCGGCCCAGUUUCCAGAGGCCCAUCAGGAGGCGGAUCUGCUCAGGUGUCGGAUUCUUUAGCGGCGGUUCCGGUCCAGGUCCUUUUGCAGGUGAUCCAUCUGCCCAUGGCCUCGCUGGUGUGGAUGGAGCAUUUGGUGACGGCGUCAGCAUUUCCGGUGGCGGUUUCGGCAGAGCUUGACAUGGAGAAGGCGGUUAAAAAUGUUAGACCGUUCCGAUAGACGCCAGUCUUUCAGGAUAUAUCAGCGACCAUGAGCAUGCGAUAGUCACUGGGACCUGCUCUCACUACCCGACGAUGAAGACGACGGAUUGUUCAACUGACGAGAUUUUAUGACUUUUGUAGCUUAUUGCAUUUUGAUUGAAAUUACUUUUUAAUCACUAUUGUUUUCCCUUAUAUCCGAUUUGAUGCAGAUAUUUCCUACCUAUUAUCGCAAUAAAUUAUUGCUAAAAGAUA